CCUGUGGAAGCCCUCAUCCCAGCCCACACAUCACCUCUCUGAGCAAAGUGGUUGUGUUCGUGGAUCUACGCUCCUUCCAGGACUUCAAUGUGUAUGGAAAUGACAAAGGCCAAAGGAAGGAAAAUGCUUGCAUGCACUGACAUGAUUCCAAGAAGACAUAUAGACAGUAUUUACAAAUGAAUCUGUGUGUUCCUCACCACCCACACAUGUGGAUGGACUUUUUCCAGAGCAAAACAAGGAUUACUUUCCAAUGGUUAAAAAAGAGAAAAUGAUUUAACAACAUAAUGCUAUGCAUUGUCUGGAAGGCAGGAGAUGUAACUGAAGGCCAAGGACUGGUAAGUCAUGCAGGGGAUGGUCUGUGUUUCUGCUCUCCUUCCCCUCGGCCUUCUCCAACCUCCAGGCCCCUCAGAGUCUCACAGGCUGCUUCCUGCAAAGGGAACUCUCAAAGCAUGGAGCCCUGCAGAUGAGAUUCCUGUCUUUCAUAUCUUAAGAAGAGUCUGACUGAGAGGUUUGAGCUCUCACUGGACCUCCACGUGUUCAGAGGGAAGGGCAUUUUGAGCUUUGAAUCUUGUGGCUCCAUUAAAUGAAAUGAUCACGGGCAUGGUAAGAGGUAAGACGUUGUCCCCUGGUGCUUCCCUCAGUGGAAAAAUGGAGUUUCCCCCUUUAGCUAGGAGCUAUCCUAUGUGUCAUAGUGGCUCACCUUCACUUGUCCAUGUUAUAGAUGAGCAGACUGAGGUGAUUGAAGCUAGCCCUAUGGGAUGUGCCCAAGGCCACACAGCUAGUACGUGGCAGGGCCAGAACUCAGAUCCAGCUCUUCUUUCACAAUUCAACUUAAGGUGACCUUCUUGUCUCAGUUUGCCCAGGAUUUUUCCAUCUUUAGGACCAGGAGUUCUGUGUUCCAGGAACCCCCUCAGUCCCAGCACCCUGGGACAGUUAAUCACCUGAAGUCCGGGUCUCAUUCCGUAAGUCAGCAUCAUUUAGCUUUGCCGGUCACGGUGGGGCUGUAGAUCUAUGGGAGCCAGAAAUGAUUUGCCCCUGGUUCUUCCGAAGGGAGAAAUGAUUCAAGCCCCCAGCGCUGGGAGGACCCUUUGGCAGGCAGGACAACUGAGCAAACUCAACAGGAAGACCAGGGGGUCAGCUCUCUGCUGACUUCAGAUCCGUUUCCCUGAGUGUGUGACCUCCAUCACAGAGCACGCUGUAACCUGCUCUUAGGUAAACAGGUAGAGAAAAAGGCAACUCUUCCUUUCCGGAUGAACGCCCCUCCCUGUGUGCUCAUCAUCCCUUCCACACGGAGACAGCAUGUGAUGUGUGGUGUCAGAGGGCAGGGCAGGAAACACCACCCUCAUUUCUCCAGGUGAGGAAACUGAGGCACAGAGAAGUCGUGCAGCCGGCGAAUGUCAAAAUUAGACCCAAAACCAAGUCUUUUAAGGUUUUAAAUGUAGUGUUUAUGGACUCCUGAAUGUCCACAGAUGGACAUCACAGGGAAAGCUAGUGUGCUCUGGACUUUUUGGGAGAUUAUCCCAGAUAUUUCACCAAUUUCUCAAAGGAAUGAAUCUGACGUCUCAGGUCUAUAGUGCAUGAUUAACUUUUUCUGUUUAAACAUUGAUGGUGCUACAAGAAAAUCUUUACUGAUGGCACUUAAAAUGUGCUUCAAGAAUAUUAGGCAAAAUGAUUAAUUUCACUUUGGUUCAGGUGGCCACGUUCAACUUUUUUCUUUCUUCCUAUUUGAUAAUUCUUCAAUAUUUCUGAAACACUAUGCUCAGACUCUUUUCUUCCGGGACCAUAUUUUAUUUAAUCCUCAACACAGGUAGGUGCACAUACUGAAAGAAAAAGGCCCAUAGAAUUCAACUCUCCAAUAGCCAGGGUUGCCUGCCUCCAACCCUU